rnacentral:misc_RNA from 1 species
UGGCGGCGGGCGUGCGAUGUUCCGUGUUCGAAAAGCGCGUCGCCACCGGGUUGACCUUCCCGUUAGUGUAGCGCGGAACCCUUGUUACGACGUAGCUGCCUAGAGAACGAACGCAUCGAUGCUCGCUUUAGAUGAUCGCGGGAGGAAAAGACGACCUCGCGAACGUCGAUCAUAUGAUCGCCGGCGCGAUCAGCGGUUUCGUCACUCGUUUCCUAUGCCAGCCUUUCGACGUCGUCAAGAUUCGAUUCCAGCUACAACUGGACCCGAUCAAGUCGUCCCACCCGACGGCCAAGUACACGGGAAUAUGGCACGGCACCGGGCGCAUUCUACGCGAGGAAGGUGUCGCCGCAUUCUGGAAGGGGCAUGUUCCUGCCCAGAUGCUCUCCAUCGUCUACGGUGGAGUACAGUUCUCUUCGUGGGAGUACCUGACACGACAGUUUGAGACGGGCCUGGGGCCCGACCGGUGGCAGCACUGGCACAACAGCGUGAACUUCACUUGUGGCUUUGCAUCGGGCUGCAUCAGCACCGUUGUGGCGCAACCUUUCGACGUCAUCCGCACCCGUCUUGUAGCGCAGAUGGAACCCAAGACGUACCGCUCCAUAAGGCAAGCGGUGAGCUGCAUGUGGCGGCAAGAGGGCCCAACGGCCUUCUACCGCGGCCUGCUGCCCACCCUUCUGCAGAUUGGGCCUCUGACGGGAUUCCAGUUCGCCUUCUACUACUUCUUCGUCAACCUCUGGGAGUUGCUGCUCCACCCGGAGAGCCACGUCACCGGAGUGAGCCAGAGUGUGGCCUGCGGAGCGCUUUCUGGCUUUAUGUCCAAAACACUUGUCUACCCUCUAGAUCUCAUCAAGAAGAGGCUGCAAGUGCAGGGCUUCACAGCGCACGGCGUCCAGUUUGGCCGGUACACUGGCUUUGUCCACUGCAUACGCUGCAUCGUGAUGCAGGAAGGCGUGCAGGGCUACUUCAAGGGCUACUUGCCCAGCGCCUUCAAGUCCAUGGCCACCACUUCGUGCUACUUUGCCUCGUAUGAGGCUGCCUGCGAGAUGUUCCGGCUAAGGCAUGGAAUACACCAAGGAAAAUUUUUAGGGGGCAGUGACGAUUGAACCUUCUGUAGACCUCUGGAAUACCCUUUUUUUUUUCUGCUGCAUGUGGGUGUGAGGGCCCACUACAACAGGACGACUGUGCUAAACAACAGGAACUGUACUUGCAAGUCUCCCUCGCAUUCUGUAUAGACCAUACCAGCAACAGAAUGAGUGUUGUGUGAAUUGGCUGCUUGCUCAUUGCGGCUCCAAUUCCACAUAGUGCUUAAGUUCAGAUCAUUCAGUUCUUGGUUGCAUGUGUUUCGUUCAUAGUAGAGCAGAAAUGUGUGCCUUCUGUUGUGCUGCAGCUAAACUAAAUGUGCGAAUUGGCUCCAGUAUAAAACAGUGCCGUCUUUCACAGCUAAGGUGAAGCGCAUUUUUCAACGCAGCGGUCAUGGUUAACUGAAUAUUUUUGUUGCAGUGCAUGAUAAAUAGCUGUAUUUAUUCUAUAGCUCCCAUAUUUAUUUCACAUAGCUAUCAUUUGUAAAGAACUGAAUUUCUUUGAACUGUAUGUGAAACUGGGAGUUUGUGAUUAUAGUUGUGUUAUCUUAAUGCUAAUUAGUUAUUGUUUUGUAUCUGUAUGCUCAUGCUUUAGUUCUUAAUUAAAGACUGGUAGUGUCAGAAGGCUUUGUUUUGAGUCAUCCUUCUGUCUUUACUUCUGUCUGGCCUAUUUUUGUCAUUCUGGGAAUUAAACCUCAUUAACAUUUCAAUUAACACUGUUGUUAUAUUUUUGCCCUUGCCACAGAUUAUUCACAUUCGAACCUUACUGUGUAUGAAACGGGCACACUGUGGUUGUAAAUGUGCUAUUACUAAACUAAGCCCGCUGCAAUAAGCUAAUUGUGAAUAAACUUUUAGUGAUAUUCAGCUUGUAUUUUAGCUGCGUAUGCUGUGUGCAGUUGGCACCUCAGUUUUAGCAAUGCUCAGUAUCCCUGUUGCAUGCGCAUGUAAAACUUUGUUGGGCAUUAUGCAACGUUGCGUAAAGGCCCUCUGUUUAUGUUUGUGUUGACAACCGGUGUGAAAAGGUUACCUUAACCUUAGGUUACCUUAAAGUUACCUUAACGAUAGUUGUAGAGGCAGUAUGUUGGUUGUGUUGGAGUGAGUGAUAACGCCUUUCUUUCGGGCAUUUUCUUUUUUUUUUUUUGAAUACGUGUUUUUAGCGUGUAGCAGACAUUUGAAUUUGAAAGUGAGGGCGAAGCACAAGAAUGUUUUGCAUAAAUUCAAAGCUGUUGAGUCAUUCCCUUUUUUUCUUACAAUGGGCAUCGCAGAGAUGGGAGAGUGCACGCUUUUAUUAGUGUUUAUGUUCCUGCAAGUCACUUGCACUGAGAGAGGCAAGCAGUUUACAUAUGUUCAUAGAAUGCAUCCGCAGCACUCCCAACUUUUUAGCAUUAGGGUGCUUAUCCUUUGUUCUUGACUCUAAAAUAUGCAUGACAAAUUCUUUACUGUUUUACUAGCAGCACACAUAUGCCUCAUACUAUUAAUCAAGUCAAAGUUCCAAGCAUAUGUGUGGUUUUUCAUAGUGUAUCUGCAGCUUAAGUGGCCCAAUGUUCACUCAGUUAACCUGCAAUUAACCCUCCACCCUAGAAACCAUGAGUUAUCAAGGAAAAUUUAUUCAUGCUGUAUCUUACUGUAUUGUGCUAAUUAGGCCUUGUUUCCAGCACCUCUGAUGGAUUGUGUCUGUACAAUUGUACAACAUGUUUUUGUCAACUUCCCUGUCAAAGGCCACAGUUCAUAGCCUUGUUAGGUAAAGAACUGAGGUUACAUUUGAUAUAUUUGAUAUGCAACACACAUAGUUGCAUUGUUUUGCUUUGGUAUUGUUGCCUGAUAGUGAUGUUGCCAUCAGAAGUCAGGGUUCACUCUCAGUGUUUGUUUAUUUCUCUAGGCAUUUUGGCUUGCACUCUUGUACAGCAUCACACAUUGCUAAGCACGACUUCGUCGCUUAGCACUUUCCUACAUUGAAUAUAUAUGCAUAGCCAAGUGAGAAUGUGUGCAGCUCAAGCAUACUGAACUGUUGUUUAUGUGCAACAGCUUUAGCAUCCUCUUGAAGAUAGGACGCAAAAAUAUGGCACUGUCUUAUGCAAAUACAAGGAGUACUCACUGUCACUUCUGAUAUGCUAAAAAUUACGUCAUACACUAUGCCACUGCGGGCGCUCUUCUCACUACGGUAUUGUUAUCACUCCUUGAGUAAUUGGGAAUAUGUACGGUGUCGAAACAACGCUGCAUUAGCAAAUUACCUCAAACAAUGCACUGAAUCUAAAGAAUACGCCGUGAAGAAAAGAAGUUAGAGGUGCUAGGCCUCCAAAUAUAAAUAUCACUUCGUGCCGUAUUACUGAAGCUCCACAAUCGCAGAAUCACUUUUGUAAGCUCUACUGCAACACAUCUGCGCAUUGCUGUGAAAUGUAUUAAUAAGGAAUAGAAUUGCUGAAAAGGAAAGCUUGCUACCAGAGUUCCACAUGUGUUAUUAUAUUACGAAUAUCCGAAAUAUUUUCCAAUGCCCUCUGGAUUUGAUUCAUGUUCAAUUGUAUACUGUUGACGUAAACCUUCAAAGUUUCCCAUUUGUCAUGUUCUAAUUACGAAUUUACUUCAAUUUCCUAAUCUCUGAGAUUAUGGAAGGAAAUGCAACAUUAUGUGUAUGCACACUUAACAAGAGGCUCUUGCUAUUGUUUUCCUGUAUACGGCGUAGUAUUGUAGCACUGUUCGCGGCUUGUAAACCUAUCAUUGGUUCACAAGCAAAUAGUCCACAAUAUCAUCAAGCAACAUUGCAAGACCCUGGUUCAUUGGCCAUACAGCAGUUUGAAGCAUAAGCAUCUUCAGGAAGGCAUAAGUUUGUUACAAACUUAAGAUCAUAUUGGGACAGCAUUUUGCAGCACUUUUGUGGCAUAGAUAGCACAUGUACUAUGUUACUGCAAGUGUGCAAGUCAAUAUGUGCAUGCACAUAAUGACUUGCACUUAAUGGUAUGCACAUAAUGUCAUACCAGACAAAAGGUACGAGUGCAUACCGUGCGUGUGUCCUAUUCUGAAUCUGGUAAGUGUUACUUCUGUGUGGUUCUCUGAAUCAAUCAACUUCAGUGGGUUGUACUGUAAGAGACCGUAUUUGAAAUUAUUUUGCUAGUGCACUUUGUGUACUUUGUGACUCUGAGGUGAACUCUUAGUUUGAAUUAUGUAUCCAUGGUCGUACCAAUUGUCAAUCUUGUGACAUGGUCAAGUUGCAUUUGUUUGUGUGUUCUUUAUUGUGUGGCAUAGCGGUAGAGGGUUCCAGCGCGUGUCCCUUGUUUUUCUAUGCAUUCGUCACUACUUACACAGAUGUUUGCCCCAUAUUACCAAUAAAACUAAUACACCAAUUACCAAUGUACCUGGAAAUAGUACCUUAUGUUUACUCUGACAAAUAUGGGACAAAAUUGGCCAUAAAUGCGGUAAAUGUUCUCUUCGGGGAGCGAGAAACUUAGUUUAAUUAUCGCGGUAAACGCUGUCACGUUUCAUAGAGCUCAUUGCAUGUGAAAGCAUUAGAACACUUUGUUCAUGUUUCAUAUGCGAGAGGAACCCAUGUGUUUUUGUUUGUGUUUUACAAGACAUGGUUUGUCGCUUAUGUGUACCAAAGAUCUGCGCACAUUUUUCAUGCUAUUCAGUCUUCGUGUGCUUCGUUGACUUCUCUCUUUUCCCAGGCGUUUAUGCCUUUUUCUUUUAGCACUAACAUUAAGAUAUGCUUGCAGCUUAGGUAUUGACAUCCGGCACAUGUUAAUAAGCCAGGCAUUCAGGUGGCAAACUGCAACGAAGACUGCCCUGUUCUCUGUUCAAGCCAAAUGGCGAUUGUCAAAAGCGAACAGUAGACCUGGCAAAGGCGAAUAAAAUCCCCUCUGGUUUCUGAAUAAUGUUUAAAUUGCACCUUCAGUCUUGUCAGUAGACAUUGUUGAUGUGUGCAUGUAUUAGCUUGGCUCUAUGUAGUGCUGCUA